rnacentral:lncRNA from 1 species
AGGAAGGGGACAAUAUUUGAAAUGUAAAUAAAUAAAAUAGCCAAUAAAAAGAGAAAAUAAAUAAAUAGAAUACAUACAUCUGGAAUGAGUGGUGGUAAGAAGAGUAGUUAGAAUAAAGCCCUUCUUUUCAGAUGGCACUACUGAAGAGUUUAAUAAAAUGAGGAAAAGAGGGAGCUGUGAUGACUCUGGGGAAAGGCGCAAACUUCUAAGACUGACCCCUGAAUUUGAUCUCUGAGCUUUUAUUAGUUAAAAGGAAACAACAAACAAACUCCUACAAAUCUUCCACUUACACACACACACACACACACACACACACACACACACACACACACACACACACAGAGUAAAUACACUACCCAAUGAAUACAAAUGCAAGAAAAAGCAGAAAGACCUGAGCUUAAAUUUGAAUAAUAAGUGCACUGGGUUUCAGAAGCAUAGUGCAAAACACGCAUUCAAUAGCUUUAAAAGAAUUAUGUUGAGUUUUGGAUUUAAUACACUUCAUGAAAAAUGUCAUCAAGUGAUUGGAGAUGAUGAAGGUCUUCACUCUAGGUGCAGCACAGGGUACUCCCCUGUAAGCCUGCAAGGUCAUCUUUUAUAUUUCUGCUUUUGGUAGAGAAGGAGUGAGAUUGUCCUUAACGUGGUUUGUUUCCAGUCUGGCAGUUGCUGAGCUCUAAUUUCUGCCUUCACCAUCACAUGCUAUUCUCUUUCCUCUGAGUCUGUUCAUGGUGAGUGUGUGUGUGUGUGUGUGUGUGUGUGUGUGUGUGUGUGUGUGUGUGUGUGUGUGUAGCAUAUGAAGAUUCCUGUGUAUGACUGUGGACAUAUACUCAGUAUCCCAUGAUUGGUCAGAGGACUCUAUGUCCCUAAGGUCAGAGGACCAAGUUCACAUGCAAGUGCUCACAACAUCAAACGCUGUAUCCACCAGGCUGACUCCUGAGAUUUUUUUUUACUAGUUAUUUUAUAUGUUUAUAUUUUAAAUGUUAUCUCCCUUCCCAGUUUCCCCUCCACAAACCCCCUAUCCUCUCUCCCCCCCACCUCUAUGAAGGUGCUCCCCCAUCUUGCUACCCACUCCUGCCUCUCAGACCAGCAUUCCCCUAUCCUGGGUCAUCAAGCCUCCACACAACCAAAGGUCUCCCCUCCCAUUGAUGCCCAAUAAGGCAAUCCUCUGCUACAUAUCAAGCUGGUGCCAUGGGUACUCCCGAGUGCUCUUUGGUUGGUGGAUUAGAGAUUCUUGCAAUUCUCCUACCUCUGUCUUACAUCUCUUUAGGAUUACUGGGAUUACAGGCAUUUAUCUUUAUGUGGGAUCUAGAGUUGGUUGAGUGGUGAUUGUAUUACCAGGUGAACCAUCUCCCCAGGCCACAUACAGCCACUUAUAAUUGACAGUCAAAUUAGAGGAGGGCUUUUCCUCCUUGGUUUGUCUUUCUCUUACUUGUAUCUGCAGUGGUCCUUGUAUAAAGUAGUAGGAUAUCCUUGGUUCCUUAUUUUUCUUUUCUUUCUUUUUCUUAAUUUUAUAUUUUUACCGUUCAGUUGUUACCCACCUUAGCUCCGUUCUUCCAUAGUUAACAUACCUUAUUUUUAUUUUUUUUAACCAUUAGUGUAGCAUGAUUUGGGAGAGAACAUUGUGUUACUGUUGGAAAUAAGUUUUUAAUUUGUCAUAUUUUUACAGGAAUGAAGUGAAAGACCUAAGACUGAGCAGCUGAGCAAAAUCUGGUCUAUUCUUUCAGGCAUUACCUCCUUAGCCUAUGUGAGAUCAAAAGCAAAGUUAUAAAACUGCAAAGUAAACUCUAGUAGUUCAGUAAUCCUUACUGAUGUUCUAGAAUCAUUUGUUUUUGUUAUAUUAAAGGGCAAAAAUAAUUAGUUUAAUUUUAUACACCAUAACUUUGCAAGAAACACUUUAACCUAAAGUUAAACCAUAGAACUGCUUACUUAAAGGAAAUAUUUUAUGUACGCCAGAGGUCAUACUUAAAAAUAAACUAGAUAAUAAUAAAGCAAAUGUAAACUGACAACAGUAUUAAUUAAGCCUGGAAUACGACCUUCUUCAUAAGUUUAUAAUCAUACAUUUAUAUCUUUUAAAAGUUGAUGCCCUAGCGUAGGAGGAUGAUAGAGUGGUGAGGCAGGAGUGGGUGAGUUGGUGGAGAAGCACCCUCAUUGAGGCAAAGUAGA